GACCGUGACACGGGGUGCCUUACCGGAUGCGUCAUCUGGUAAAGCUGAGAGCAGACCCGUUGAACCUGAUCUAUCUCGCACUAGCGAAGGGAUUGUCACAUGACAACAAA
rnacentral:ncRNA from 1 species